rnacentral:rRNA from 1 species
CGUGCCAGCAGCCGCGGUAAUACGAAGGGGGCUAGCGUUGCUCGGAAUCACUGGGCGUAAAGGGUGCGUAGGCGGGUCUUUAAGUCAGAGGUGAAAUCCUGGAGCUCAACUCCAGAACUGCCUUUGAUACUGAAGGUCUUGAGUUCGAGAGAGGUGAGUGGAACUGCGAGUGUAAAGGUGAAAUUCGUAGAUAUUCGCAAGAACACCAGUGGCGAAGGCGGCUCACUGGCUCGAUACUGACGCUGAGGCACGAAAGCGUGGGGAGCAAACAGGAUUAGAUACCCUGGUAGUCCACGCCGUAAACGAUG